rnacentral:rRNA from 1 species
GCGGUAGAGGAGCGUUCUGUAAGCCUGUGAAGGUGAGUUGAGAAGCUUGCUGGAGGUAUCAGAAGUGCGAAUGCUGACAUGAGUAACGACAAUGGGUGUGAAAAACACCCACGCCGAAAGACCAAGGUUUCCUGCGCAACGUUAAUCGACGCAGGGUUAGUCGGUCCCUAAGGCGAGGCUGAAAAGCGUAGUCGAUGGAAAACAGGUUAAUAUUCCUGUACUUCUGGUUAUUGCGAUGGAGGGACGGAGAAGGCUAGGCCAGCUUGGCGUUGGUUGUCCAAGUUUAAGGUGGUAGGCUGAGAUCUUAGGUAAAUCCGGGAUCUCAAGGCCGAGAGCUGAUGACGAGUGUCCUUUAGGACGCGAAGUGGUUGAUGCCAUGCUUCCAAGAAAAGCUUCUAAGCUUCAGAUAACCAGGAACCGUACCCCAAACCGACACAGGUGGUUAGGUAGAGAAUACCAAGGCGCUUGAGAGAACUCGGGUGAAGGAACUAGGCAAAAUGGCACCGUAACUUCGGGAGAAGGUGCGCCGGUGAGGGUGAAGGACUUGCUCCGUAAGCCCAUGCCGGUCGAAGAUACCAGGCCGCUGCGACUGUUUAUUAAAAACACAGCACUCUGCAAACACGAAAGUGGACGUAUAGGGUGUGACGCCUGCCCGGUGCCGGAAGGUUAAUUGAUGGGGUUAGCGAAAGCGAAGCUCUUGAUCGAAGCCCCGGUAAACGGCGGCCGUAACUAUAACGGUCCUAAGGUAGCGAAAUUCCUUGUCGGGUAAGUUCCGACCUGCACGAAUGGCGUAACGAUGGCGGCGCUGUCUCCACCCGAGACUCAGUGAAAUUGAAAUCGCUGUGAAGAUGCAGUGUAUCCGCGGCUAGACGGAAAGACCCCGUGAACCUUUACUAUAGCUUUGCACUGGACUUUGAAUUUGCUUGUGUAGGAUAGGUGGGAGGCUUUGAAGCGUGAACGCCAGUUUGCGUGGAGCCAUCCUUGAAAUACCACCCUGGCAACUUUGAGGUUCUAACUCAGGUCCGUUAUCCGGAUCGAGGACAGUGUAUGGUGGGUAGUUUGACUGGGGCGGUCUCCUCCUAAAGAGUAACGGAGGAGUACGAAGGUGCGCUCAGACCGGUCGGAAAUCGGUCGCAGAGUAUAAAGGCAAAAGCGCGCUUGACUGCGAGACAGACACGUCGAGCAGGUACGAAAGUAGGUCUUAGUGAUCCGGUGGUUCUGUAUGGAAGGGCCAUCGCUCAACGGAUAAAAGGUACUCCGGGGAUAACAGGCUGAUACCGCCCAAGAGUUCAUAUCGACGGCGGUGUUUGGCACCUCGAUGUCGGCUCAUCACAUCCUGGGGCUGAAGCCGGUCCCAAGGGUAUGGCUGUUCGCCAUUUAAAGUGGUACGCGAGCUGGGUUUAGAACGUCGUGAGACAGUUCGGUCCCUAUCUGCCGUGGACGUUUGAGAUUUGAGAGGGGCUGCUCCUAGUACGAGAGGACCGGAGUGGACGAACCUCUGGUGUUCCGGUUGUCACGCCAGUGGCAUUGCCGGGUAGCUAUGUUCGGAAAAGAUAACCGCUGAAAGCAUCUAAGCGGGAAACUUGCCUCAAGAUGAGAUCUCACUGGAACCUUGA